UGAAUAGAAGCUGAAGUGUCAAAGCGUCUAGCUGUUAAUUAGAAGGUUGUAGAAUUAAAAUCCUACCUAUUCAG
rnacentral:tRNA from 1 species